ACUGCGAAUGGCUCAUUAUAUAAGUUAUCGUUUAUUUGAUAGUACCUUACUACUUGGAUAACCGUGGUAAUUCUAGAGCUAAUACAUGCUAAAAAUCCCGACUUCGGAAGGGAUGUAUUUAUUAGAUUAAAAACCAAUGCCCUCUGGGCUCCUUGGUGAUUCAUGAUAACUCUUCGAAUCGCACGGCCUUGCGCCGGCGAUGGUUCAUUCAAAUUUCUUCCCUAUCAACUUUCGAUGUUUGGGUAUUGGCCAAACAUGGUUGCAACGGGUAACGGAGGGUUAGGGCUCGACCCCGGAGAAGGAGCCUGAGAAACGGCUACUACAUCCAAGGAAGGCAGCAGGCGCGCAAAUUACCCAAUCCCGAUUCGGGGAGGUAGUGACAAUAAAUACUGAUACAGGGCUCUUUUGGGUCUUGUAAUUGGAAUGAGUACAAUUUAAAUCUCUUAACGAGGAACAAUUGGAGGGCAAGUCUGGUGCCAGCAGCCGCGGUAAUUCCAGCUCCAAUAGCGUAUAUUAAAGUUGUUGUGGUUAAAAAGCUCGUAGUUGAACCUUGGGCCUGGCUGGCCGGUCCGCCUCACCGCGUGCACUGGUCCGGCCGGGCCUUUCCCUCUGUGGAACCCCAUGCCCUUCACUGGGCGUGGCGGGGAAACAGGACGUUUACUUUGAAAAAAUUAGAGUGCUCCAGGCAGGCCUAUGCUCGAAUACAUUAGCAUGGAAUAAUGAAAUAGGACGCGUGGUUCUAUUUUGUUGGUUUCUAGGACCGCCGUAAUGAUUAAUAGGGACAGUCGGGGGCAUCAGUAUUCAAUUGUCAGAGGUGAAAUUCUUGGAUUUAUUGAAGACUAACUACUGCGAAAGCAUUUGCCAAGGAUGUUUUCAUUAAUCAGGAACGAAAGUUAGGGGAUCGAAGACGAUCAGAUACCGUCGUAGUCUUAACCAUAAACUAUGCCGACUAGGGAUCGGACGAUGUUAUUUUUUGACGCGUUCGGCACCUUACGAGAAAUCAAAGU
rnacentral:rRNA from 1 species